GACGAACGCUGGCGGCGUGCUUAACACAUGCAAGUCGAACGGAAAGGCCCUGCUUUUGUGGGGUGCUCGAGUGGCGAACGGGUGAGUAACACGUGAGUAACCUGCCCUUGACUUUGGGAUAACUUCAGGAAACUGGGGCUAAUACCGGAUAGGAGCUCCUGCUGCAUGGUGGGGGUUGGAAAGUUUCGGCGGUUGGGGAUGGACUCGCGGCUUAUCAGCUUGUUGGUGGGGUAGUGGCUUACCAAGGCUUUGACGGGUAGCCGGCCUGAGAGGGUGACCGGCCACAUUGGGACUGAGAUACGGCCCAGACUCCUACGGGAGGCAGCAGUGGGGAAUAUUGCACAAUGGGCGGAAGCCUGAUGCAGCAACGCCGUGUGCGGGAUGACGGCCUUCGGGUUGUAAACCGCUUUCGCCUGUGACGAAGCGUGAGUGACGGUAAUGAGUAAAGAAGCACCGGCUAACUACGUG
rnacentral:rRNA from 1 species